AAAAACAUAACCUUUAGCCAAACAAGUAUUAAAGGCAACGCCUGCCCAGUGAAUAAUUAAACGGCCGCGGUAUCCUAACCGUGCAAAGGUAGCAUAAUCAUUUGUCUAUUAAUUGUAGACCUGUAUGAAAGGCAAAAUGAGAGCCCAACUGUCUCUUAUAACAAAUCAAUUAAACUGAUCUUCUAGUCCAAAAGCUAGAAUAUUAACAUAAGACCAGAAGACCCUGUGAAGCUUUAACUAACCUAUUAAACCCAAUAAUAGCUACUUUCGGUUGGGGCGACCUUGGAAUAAAAAGAAACUUCCAAUAUAUGACUUCUCAUAAAACAAGGCAAACAAGCCACACUAGACCCAGUAUCACUGAUAAUUGAAAUAAGUUACUCCAGGGAUAACAGCGCUAUCUUCUUUUAGAGCCCAUAUCAAAAAGAAGGUUUACGACCUCGAUGUUGGAUCAGGACAUCCUAGUAAUGCAACC
rnacentral:rRNA from 1 species